rnacentral:lncRNA from 1 species
GUGCAGAAAGCAAAAGCAGCAAAUGAAGCUUGUAGGCAGGUGGAAUGUGCUAUUAAGAAGACGUUUGAAUUUUCUUUGCCAUGGGCAUUGUUUCUAUUUUUAAAAAGUGUUCUAACAAUCUAUCUGUGUUGGCAAGAGAAAAAGGGAAAAUUAAUGAUAAGUUCUUAUUGAAACAUUAGAAACACAUUACAGCUCCAUAAAAAAAGUGGUCUACCCUCAGGCUAAAUGCUAUAAAGAGAGAGAGAGAGAGAGAGGUGGGAAAUAUACUAGUUCCUUUCUUCUAAGUGACUCACUCCCCUCCAGGAUCUACUUGCUUUUAUUAACUUUCCAGUGCCUUCAGGUAGCUGUCAUUUACAUUUUGUCCAGAGUUUCUCGUUGUUUUCUGUAGGAGGGUUGAUCUAAUAUAAGCUACUUGAUCAUUCAGAUACUGAAUGGUAGUAUCAAUAUAAUUUGCUGGUAUAUAAGAGUAAAGUAUGAUAGAGUAGUCAAACAUCAUCACUUUUUUUGUGUGUGUUUUUUGUUUUUUGUUUUUUGCUUUUUUUUUUUUUUUUCUUUGCCUCUGCAAGCAGAAGGAUGGAGUUUCCAUUUACUGAAAUGGGAAAGGCUAUAAAUAUAAUUAAUUGCAUGUAUGAGUUUAGAGUUCAGGAGAAAGUACUGGGCUAGAGAUAAUAAUCUGGAAGUUGUUUUUUAUGUAACCAUUGAAUUUAGCAAUAAGAUCUUUGUAACCUUGACAAGGGCAGUUUCAGCAGUGUUGUAGGAGAAAGCUUGAUUAGGAUGGAUUGCAAAUGGGAGAAGGGGAAUUAGAGACCGCAAAUUUGGAUAACUCUAGAAAAAUUUUGCUGUAAAGUAAACAGCAAUGGAACAGUAGCUUGAAGGAGGACGUUAAGGGUUUUAUUUUGCUGUUUGUUUUUAAGAUAGGAGAAUGUAUAGUAUGUCUGUAUGCUGGUGGAGAUUAAACAAUACAGAAGGAACAUGAACGAUGCAAAAAAAAAUGGAUGAGAGAAUUAUUGCUGAAGCACACAAGUGAAGGAGUUGGCCUCAGAAUCAGGCAAAUUUCAUCCACAGAAACAAAAGUGAGGGCAAAUUAUGUAGGUCAUAGGUGAGUAGGUCAAUGUAGUAGUGGGAGCUAGAGGUUUAGGAGAGAGGAAAACAUACAAAAUAGCCAUCCGAAGUGUGAGAGAGUGAAGUACUGACGGUCCAUGGGAGAUUAGAGGGUCAAGAUUUUGAAGUAAGACCAGGCAGAAUGGAUUCAAUAAAGUUUAGGAUUCUUUCAGUACUGUACCAAAUGCAAGAUGAAGCAAGGGAGUUGAGGUAAAUGAAAUAUAAGGUAAAGGGAAAGUGAGUGACAGCGAAAAGAUGAUGAAAUGAGCAAAAAAACAAGUAGGGAAAAAGAUAGGCAGAUGGGUAGGUAGGUAG